GAUGAACGCUGGCGGCGUGCCUAAUACAUGCAAGUAGAACGAACAGACGAGGACCUUGCCUCUCUGACGUUUUCCGCGGACGUGUGUGUCACACGUGGAACACCCACCUAAAAGACUGGGAACACUUCGGGAAACCGGCGCUAACACCGUAAAAUAUAUUGAACCGCAAGGUUCACUAGUGAAAGACGGUUUUACUGUUACCUAUUGAUGGAUCCGCGCGGCAUUAAGUAGUUGGGAAGGUAACGGCUUACCAAGGCAACGAUUCGUAGCCGCCCUGAGAGGUGGACCGGCCACACUGGAACUGAGCCACGGCCCAGAUUCCUACGGAAGGCGCCAGAAGGGAAUCUUGGGCAUUGACCGAAAGCCUGACGGAGCAACGCGCGGUGAUUGAGGAGGUUCUCCGAAUCGUAAACCCCUGUGAUUGGGAAGAACCAGAUGUGUAAGUAAAUGUGCACGUCUUGACGGUACCUUAUCAGAAAGCCACGGCUAACUACGUG
rnacentral:rRNA from 1 species